rnacentral:rRNA from 1 species
UAGGUGAACCUGCGGAGGGAUCAUUACAGAGUUCGUGCCCUCACGGGUAGAUCUCCCACCCUGUGUUAUUAUACCUUUGUUGCUUUGGCGGGCCGCCCUCGGCUACCGGCCCCGGCUGGUACGCGCCCGCCAGAGGACCCCAAACUCUGAAUGUUAGUGUCGUCUGAGUACUAUACAAUAGUUAAAACUUUCAACAACGGACCUCUUGGUUCUGGCAUCGAUGAAGAACGCAGCGAAAUGCGAUAAGUAACGUGAAUUGCAGAAUUCAGUGAAUCAUCGAAUCUUUGAACGCACAUUGCGCCCCUUGGUAUUCCGAGGGGCAUGCCUGUUCGAGCGUCAUUUCAACCCUCAAGCACCAGGCCUUGGGUUCUGGGGGCUUUCCCCCGUAUAACCCCGCGCGGGGCUCUUUAAAAAUUCAGGGUGGGCGGGUGCCCGUCGGGGCCCUGAGCCCCAGUAAUCUCUCUCGCUAUAGGGUCCCGGCGGAUGCUGGCCAGUAACCCCAAUUUUCUAUGGUUGACCUCGGAUCAGGUA